GACGAACGCUGGCGGCGUGCUUAACACAUGCAAGUCGAACGGAAAGGCCCUGCUUUUGUGGGGUGCUCGAGGGGCGAACGGGUGAGUAACACGUGAGUAACCUGCCCUUGACUUUGGGAUAACUUCAGGAAACUGGGGCUAAUACCGGAUAGGAGCUCCUGCUGCAUGGGGGGGGUUGGAAAGUUUCGGCGGUUGGGGAUGGACUCGCGGCUUAUCAGCUUGUUGGUGGGGUAGUGGCUUACCAAGGCUUUGACGGGUAGCCGGCCUGAGAGGGUGACCGGCCACAUUGGGACUGAGAUACGGCCCAGACUCCUACGGGAGGCAGCAGUGGGGAAUAUUGCACAAUGGGCGGAAGCCUGAUGCAGCAACGCCGCGUGCGGGAUGACGGCCUUCGGGUUGUAAACCGCUUUCGCCUGUGACGAAGCGUGAGUGACGGUAAUGGGUAAAGAAGCACCGGCUAACUACGUG
rnacentral:rRNA from 1 species